rnacentral:rRNA from 1 species
CCUACGGGAGGCAGCAGUGGGGAAUAUUGGGCAAUGGGCGCAAGCCUGAACCAGCAACGCAGCGUGAAGGAAGAAGGCUUUCGGGUUGUAAAAUUCUUUUGAGAGGGGAGAGAAGAAGACGGUACCUGACGAAUAAGCCAUGGCUAACUAGGGGCCAGCAGCGGCGGUAAUACGGAGGGGGCAGGCGUUGUCCGGAUGUACUGGGUGUAAAGGGCGUGUAGCCGGGUUGACAAGUCAGAUGUGAAAGCCUGCGGCUUAACCGCAGAACUGCAUUUGAAACUGGUGAUCUUGAGUACUGGAGAGGAAGACGGAAUUCCUGGUGUAGCGGUGAAAUGCUUAGAUAUUAGGAGGAACGCCAGUGGCGAAGGCGGGCUGCUGGACAGCAACUGACGGUGAGGCGCGAAAGCGUGGGGAGCAAACAGGAUUAGAUACCCCAGUAGUC